GGGUGGCGAAUCCGUAAAAAAGAGCCACACCACAUAAGACGGCCACUGACAGCGCCACGUGGCAAUACAGACAAAACAUAAAGAAGUGGGACAUAUGGUCCACGUGUGAUUGAGUUGCCGGGAUACGAGGGUCGCAUGGGCACGUGUGUACUGCCAGCUUGGCACUAUCCUCCUCUCUCUCUCUCUCUUUCUAUUUUUAUAAUUCGAAUUAUAAAAUAAUAAAAAAUGCAGCCGUUGAGAAAGGUACGGUGUACCCACCGCUGCUGCUUCUUUACCUUUUUUUCUAAUUUUUGUUUUGCCUUUUUCAGUUUUGAUUUAUUAAUAAUUAUUAAUGAUGUUUUGUCUGUUACUUUCAAUUGG
rnacentral:lncRNA from 1 species